UUGAGAGUUUGAUCCUGGCUCAGAACGAACGCUGGCGGCAGGCUUAACACAUGCAAGUCGAGCGCCCUGCUUGCAGGGAGCGGCAGACGGGUGAGUAACGCGUGGGAAUAUACCUUUCGGUACGGAACAACAGUUGGAAACGACUGCUAAUACCGUAUGCGCCCUAUGGGGGAAAGAUUUAUCGCCGAAGGAUUAGCCCGCGUUGGAUUAGCUAGUUGGUGGGGUAAAGGCCUACCAAGGCGACGAUC
rnacentral:rRNA from 1 species